rnacentral:rRNA from 1 species
GAUGAACGCUAGCGGCAGGCUUAAUACAUGCAAGUCGUGGGGCAGCAGGGGUGUAGCAAUACAUCUGCUGGCGACCGGCAAACGGGUGCGUAACACGUACGCAACCUUCCCGUUACUGUGGCAUAGCCCAGGGAAACUUGGAUUAAUACCACAUAUUAUAUAGAGAGGGCAUCCUUUUUAUAUCAAAGCUUCGGCGGUAACGGAUGGGCGUGCGGUUGAUUAGGUAGUUGGCGGGGUAACGGCCCACCAAGCCUACGAUCAAUAGCUGAUGUGAGAGCAUGAUCAGCCACACGGGCACUGAGACGCGGGCCCGACUCCUACGGGAGGCAGCAGUAAGGAAUAUUGGGCAAUGGACGAAAGUCUGACCCAGCCAUGCCGCGUGAAGGAUUAAGGUCCUCUGGAUUGUAAACUUCUUUUCUCUGGGGCGAAAACCAGCUAUUCUUAGCUAUUUGACAGUACCAGAGGAAUAAGCACCGGCUAACUCCGUGCCAGCAGCCGCCGUAAGAC